UACGUUUGAUCUCGACCCGGGUCCCUUUGCCGAAAGUGUACGGGGGUGAGCUACCCCGCUGAAAAUAAUAGUAAUCUGCUGUAUCAUCGGCUUCAACGCUGCUGAUUGUGAGAGUGUAAAUGGUGCCAGACCCACUGCCACUGAACUGGGUUGGGACCCCAAAGGCAAGGGAGGAGGCUUGAUAGAUAAGAAAUUUAGGAGCUUGUCCGAGUUUCUGUUGGUACCAGGAUACAUAGUUACUGUUGAUGCUAGAACUGACUGUACAUCUGAUGGUGACUUUUUCUCCCGGAGACACUGAGAGGGAUUCCGGAGACUGAGUCAUAGUGACCUGCCCAUAGGAGUCUGCAUUAAAUAUGAA